UACGAAGGGGGCUAGCGUUGUUCGGAUUUACUGGGCGUAAAGCGCACGUAGGCGGAUCGUUAAGUCGGGGGUGAAAUCCUGGAGCUCAACUCCAGAACUGCCUUCGAUACUGGCGAUCUUGAGUCCGGAAGAGGUGAGUGGAACUCCUAGUGUAGAGGUGGAAUUCGUAGAUAUUGGGAGGAACACCAGUGGCGAAGGCGAGUCUCUGGGAUGAUACUGACGGCUGAUGCUCGA
rnacentral:rRNA from 1 species